rnacentral:rRNA from 1 species
CUGGCUCAGAUGAACGCUGGCGGCAGGCCUAACACAUGCAAGUCGAACGGUAACAGGAAGAAGCUUGCUUCUUCGCUGACGAGUGGCGGACGGGUGAGUAAUGUCUGGGAAACUGCCUGAUGGAGGGGGAUAACUACUGGAAACGGUAGCUAAUACCGCAUAACGUCGCAAGACCAAAGAGGGGGACCUUCGGGCCUCUUGCCAUCGGAUGUGCCCAGAUGGGAUUAGCUUGUUGGUGGGGUAACGGCUCACCAAGGCGACGAUCCCUAGCUGGUCUGAGAGGAUGACCAGCCACACUGGAACUGAGACACGGUCCAGACUCCUACGGGAGGCAGCAGUGGGGAAUAUUGCACAAUGGGCGCAAGCCUGAUGCAGCCAUGCCGCGUGUAUGAAGAAGGCCUUCGGGUUGUAAAGUACUUUCAGCGGGGAGGAAGGGAGUAAAGUUAAUACCUUUGCUCAUUGACGUUACCCGCAGAAGAAGCACCGGCUAACUCCGUGCCAGCAGCAGC